GACGAACGCUGGCGGCGUGCUUAACACAUGCAAGUCGAACGGAAAGGCCCUGCUUUUGUGGGGUGCUCGAGUGGCGAACGGGUGAGUAACACGUGAGUAACCUGCCCUUGACUUUGGGAUAACUUCAGGAAACUGGGGCUAAUACCGGAUAGGAGCUCCUGCUGCAUGGUGGGGGUUGGAAAGUUUCGGCGGUUGGGGAUGGACUCGCGGCUUAUCAGCUUGUGGGUGGGGUAGUGGCUUACCAAGGCUUUGACGGGUAGCCGGCCUGAGAGGGUGACCGGCCACAUUGGGACUGAGAUACGGCCCAGACUCCUACGGGAGGCAGCAGUGGGGAAUAUUGCACAAUGGGCGGAAGCCUGAUGCAGCAACGCCGCGUGCGGGAUGACGGCCUUCGGGGUGUAAACCGCUUUCGCCUGUGACGAAGCGUGAGUGACGGUAAUGGGUAAAGAAGCACCGGCUAACUACGUG
rnacentral:rRNA from 1 species